CGAACGGUAACAGGCCGCAAGGUGCUGACGAGUGGCGAACGGGUGAGUAAUGCAUCGGAACGUGCCCAGUAGUGGGGGAUAGCCCGGCGAAAGCCGGAUUAAUACCGCAUACGACCUAUGGGUGAAAGCGGGGGACCGAAAGGCCUCGCGCUAUUGGAGCGGCCGAUGUCAGAUUAGGUAGUUGGUGGGGUAAAGGCCUACCAAGCCUGCGAUCUGUAGCUGGUCUGAGAGGACGACCAGCCACACUGGGACUGAGACACGGCCCAGACUCCUACGGGAGGCAGCAGUGGGGAAUUUUGGACAAUGGGCGCAAGCCUGAUCCAGCCAUGCCGCGUGCGGGAAGAAGGCCUUCGGGUUGUAAACCGCUUUUGUCAGGGAAGAAAUCUUCUGGGUUAAUACCUCGGGAGGAUGACGGUACCUGAAGAAUAAGCACCGGCUAACUACGUGCCAGCAGCCGCGGUAAUACGUAGGGUGCAAGCGUUAAUCGGAAUUACUGGGCGUAAAGCGUGCGCAGGCGGUUAUGUAAGACAGAUGUGAAAUCCCCGGGCUUAACCUGGGAACUGCAUUUGUGACUGCAUAGCUUGAGUGCGGCAGAGGGGGAUGGAAUUCCGCGUGUAGCAGUGAAAUGCGUAGAUAUGCGGAGGAACACCGAUGGCGAAGGCAAUCCCCUGGGCCUGCACUGACGCUCAUGCACGAAAGCGUGGGGGAGCAAACAGGAUUAGAUACCCUGGUAGUCCACGCCCUAAACGAUGUCAACUGGUUGUUGGGAGGGUUUUCUUCUC
rnacentral:rRNA from 1 species